rnacentral:rRNA from 1 species
UACGUAGGGUGCGAGCGUUGUCCGGAAUUAUUGGGCGUAAAGGGCUCGUAGGCGGUUUGUCGCGUCGGGAGUGAAAACACCGGGCUUAACUCGGUGCUUGCUUUCGAUACGGGCAGACUAGAGGCAUGCAGGGGAGAACGGAAUUCCUGGUGUAGCGGUGAAAUGCGCAGAUAUCAGGAGGAACACCGGUGGCGAAGGCGGGAUCCUGGGCCAGUACUGACGCUGAGGAGCGAAAGCGUGGGGAGCAAACAGG